rnacentral:rRNA from 1 species
UCCGGUUGAUCUUGCCGGACCCCACUGCUAUCGGGAUAGGACUAAGACAUGCUAGUCAUGCGCUUUCUAGCUAAUGUGUGAGCGCGGCGUACAGCUCAGUAACACGUGGCUAACCUGCCCUUGGGACGGGAAUACCCCCGGGAAACUGGGGCUAAUUCCCGAUAGGUGAAGAAUUCUGGAAUGAAUCUUCGCCCAGAGGACAUUUAUGUCAUGCUCAUAGGUGUUGCCCAGGGAUGGGGCCGCGUCCGAUCAGGUAGUUGGUGAGGUAAUGGCUCACCAAGCCUUUUACCGGUGCGGGCCGUGAGAGCGGGAGCCCGGAGAUGGGCACUGAGACAAGGGCCCAGGCCCUACGGGGCGCAGCAGUCGCGAAAACUUUGCAAUACACGAAAGUGUGACAAGGCUAUCCCGAGUGCCAUCCGCUGAGGAAGGCUUUUACCCAGUAUAAAUAGCUGGGAGAAUAAGGAGAGGGCAAGUCUGGUGUCAGCCGCCGCGGUAAUACCUGCUCUCCGAGUAGUGUGGAUGUUUAUUGGGCCUAAAGCAUCCGUAGCUUGCUAUGCAAGUCCCCUGUUAAAUCCACCGAUUUAAUCGUUGGAUUGCGGGGGAUACUGUUUGGCUAGGGGACGGGAGAGGCCGACGGUAUUUCCGGGUAGGGGUGAAAUCCUAUAAUCCCGGGAAGACCACCAGUGGCGAAGGCUGUCGGCUAGAACGCGCCCGACGGUGAGGGAUGAAAGCUGGGGGAGCGAACCGGAUUAGAUACCCGGGUAGUCCCAGCUGUAAACGAUGCAGGCUAGGUGUUUGGGCGGCCACGAGCCGCUCUAGUGCCGCAGGGAAGCUGUUAAGCCUGCCGCCUGGGGAGUACGGCCGCAAGGCUGAGGCUUAAAGGAAUUGGCGGGGGAGCACCACAAGGGGUAGUCUUGCGGUUUAAUUGGAUUCAACGCCG